rnacentral:tRNA from 1 species
GGGGCCCGGCGGCCCGCAACGCGGCGCUCUCCGCAUCCAGGUCGGAGACGAAGGGGUCGAGGUGGAUUCUGGCCGGUUCGGCGCCGGCCGGGGCCUUC